rnacentral:rRNA from 1 species
GACGAACGCUGGCGGCGUGCCUAAUACAUGCAAGUCGAGCGGACCAAAGGGAGCUUGCUCCUGGAGGUCAGCGGCGAACGGGUGAGUAACACGUGGGCAACCUGCCUGUAAGACUGGGAUAACAUCGAGAAAUCGGUGCUAAUACCGGAUAAUAAAAAGAACUGCAUGGUUCUUUUUGAAAGAUGGUUUCGGCUAUCACUUACAGAUGGCCCGCGGCGCAUUAGCUAGUUGGUGAGGUAACGGCUCACCAAGGCAACGAUGCGUAGCCGACCUGAGAGGGUGAUCGGCCACACUGGGACUGAGACACGGCCCAGACUCCUACGGGAGGCAGCAGUAGGGAAUCUUCCGCAAUGGACGAAAGUCUGACGGAGCAACGCCGCGUGAGUGAUGAAGGUUUUCGGAUCGUAAAACUCUGUUGUUAGGGAAGAACAAGUGCCGUUCGAAAGGGCGGCACCUUGACGGUACCUAACGAGAAAGCCACGGCUAACUACGUGCCAGCAGCCGACGG